rnacentral:rRNA from 1 species
UACGUAGGGUGCAAGCGUUGUCCGGAAUUAUUGGGCGUAAAGAGCUCGUAGGCGGUCUGUCGCGUCGGCUGUGAAAACCCGAGGCUUAACCUCGUGGCUUGCGGUGGAUACGGGCAGACUAGAGUGCGGUAGGGGAGACUGGAAUUCCUGGUGUAGCGGUGAAAUGCGCAGAUAUCAGGAGGAACACCGGUGGCGAAGGCGGGUCUCUGGGCCGUAACUGACGCUGAGGAGCGAAAGCGUGGGGAGCGAACAGG